rnacentral:lncRNA from 1 species
AUGAAUGAUGGACAGGUAGCACCGGGGCAGGAGCUCUCCAGCUGUCAGGGAGUACUAAGUGAGGAGCAACCUACUUUCAGGGAGGAUCAUGUGAAGAGCAACCUGUUGUUAUUGAGCACCGUGAGAGGAAGAUCCAGGAGGUCAGUGCAAGAGUCAAUGAGCACUCUACAGAGCACUGCAGCUAUCAGUGAGAACUGUGUGAGGAGCCUGGACAUCACUGAUGCAACAUUCAGAGAACACUGCCGCCUGUCGAGCACCCCUGCAGUCAGUGAGCACCCUCUGUGGAGCACAAUUCUCUCAAUCCUGCUGACAGGAAGGUAUUACAAUUUUGCUGGCAUCAGUGACCUGGCAUCUUGGAAUUAUCCCCUGCUUCAGUUUACAGAGGAAUAAACCGCAGGUUUAGUCUGAAGAGGAAGCCUCAGAAAAGUGCCUUGCCAAAAGUGCCAAACCAGAGUUACAUCAUGGGUGAAAGGAGGAUGCAGAAGUCUUUUAUAACCCAGGAUUUCUCUCCAACUAAUAAAGCAGCCAUCAUUGCUCUUUGCUUUCUCA